GAAAUAACAAAAUCUGAAUGAAAUACUUUAUUUCGACACACAAAUCUGGAUUAAUCGACCAGCGAAUGACCAGAGAAAGACAAAAACAUCUCGAACAAGAAACAUGAACAUUUGCCUACUGAAUAAAGUAUUAUAUGUGACGUUCCACGGAAAAGGUACCUUAUGGCGGCUGGCGCUUACGUCUCAUAGCGCCGCAAUAAUAUUGGAGCGGCGUUAAUAAUAGCGUUAGCGCCAACCGCUAUAUAUAGCAGUGUUGGGCAAAAAGUAAUUGAAUUAUUAAUUAACAAUUGCAAUUACAAAAUGUAAUUCCAACAAAUAAUUUCCAUUACAUGUGGAAAGUAAUUAAAAUUUUAAUUACUAAUUACAAUUGCAAAAUGUAAUUAGUAAUUAAAUUACUAAUUACAUUUUGUAAUUAAAAUUUUUAAUUUAAUUACUUUUUUGAAUUACAGUUACUUUUAUAGAAUGCAAGUUUGUGAUCAUCUUUAUUUCCAAAAUCAGAUGAACAUUUUGAAUGGUUUUAAAUUUCACUAAGCAACAUUGUCAAUGUUAACUUUGGUUGAUUUGGUUGGACUGUAGCUAAGGGAGGGCUGGGACUUACAAUUUUUUUCUGAUUAAGUGGUGUCAUUAUGAUACUAUUUUUAAAUGAUUGUAAUGUGUAGAUCACGUCAAAAUAAGCGUAUUUUACUAAAAUUUUUUUCUCUAAAAUAAAAAUGGCUGAGUUAGACGCCUCCAAAGAUUGAUAUUUUUAAAGGGAGCUGGGUCUUAGAAAAUUUUCAUCGCGAGUGGUGUCAUUAUGACAUAUAUUUUAAAUGAUUGUAACGUAUAGAACACGUUCAAAUAGGCCACUUUUACUAGAAAAACUUUUUUAUAAAAUUGAAAAUAGCGGACUGUAUCAAAGGGGGGCCGUUUCUGGGACUUAGAUUUUUUUUUUGAGAAAAUGAAUAAAACAGGGGUUUCAAAACAGUUCUUAAUAAAGUUUUAGAAAAAAGUUUUUCAAGUAAAAGUAGCUUAUUUUGACGUGUUCUAUAAGUUACAAUCAUUUAAAAUAUAUGUCAUAAUGACACCACUCGCGAUGAAAAUUUUCUAAGUCCCAGCUCCCUUUAAAAACACCAAUCUUUGGAGGCGUCUAACUCAGUCAUUUUUUAUUUUAGAGAAAAGUUUUUUCAGUAAAAGAUGCUUAUUUUGACGUGAUCUAGACAUUACAAUCAUUUAAAAAUAGUGUCAUAAUGACACCACUUUGUCAAAAAAAAUUCUAAGUCCCAGCCCCCUCUUUGCUACAGUCCAACCCGAAAGGCACCUUAGGUCGGCGCUUAUGUCAUUAUUAGCGGCGCCCCAAUACUAAUGCGGUGCUACGCGACGUAAGCGCCGACCGCCAUAUUCAACGUGGUUUGUCACAUAGUACCCUGUAAAGGUAUGAUUCCAGGGAUAAAAAAUAUGUUAUAAUGUUAUCCAGCGUAUAAUGGAAUUCAUAAAAGAUUUUCUUUAUAAUUACUCCAAGAAAAUUUGUUCAUAUUUGCAUAUUAUUAAAAAGGUAAAUGAAAAGUAAUUGAGUAAUUUAAUUACUAAUUAAUGUAAUUACAAUUGCAAAUUACACAGAAAAUUUAAUUACAUGUAAUUAAAUUUUAUGUAAUUCAAUUACAUUGUAAUUCAAUUACAUGUAAUUCAAUUAGUAAUUAAAUUACACGAGUAAUUAAUUACGCCCAACACUGAAUAUAUAGGUACCUUUACCUGUGGGACGUCACAUAUUAUUCCUACUUUGGUACUCGUAAUAAAUAAUACAAACGUUCUAAAGUGAUAAGGGUCUCAAUAUCACGAUAAAUCCACAAGAAUCUUUCAUUUUGGAAAUGGAAAAUUUCAAUUCCCAAUAUGAGAAGUUUCCGAAAUUAAAUUACAUAUGUGGAAAUUUCGCAAUUUUGGAAAGUUUACGACAUCACAUCAAUAGUUAACUUAACCCUUUAAACAUCUCAGGACAUGACAUCACAUCAAAAAUAACAGAAAUAAAAUGUCUUUACUUACUCUUGAUAUACGUUAGAUGGCUUGCUUUAGUACGAUCAUGGAAUUUAAUUUCAGUAUGUACCAUCGUACCUUGUCACUGCGACAAUAGUAUAAGGUCUCUAGCGACUUUUUCCACCACCAAGGUACGUUUAUGGUACUGAAAUCAAAUAAUCAGUAUUAUUUAUAACCUAUACUAUACAAUCGCAUUAAUGAAUAUCAAACUAGUACUAUUGCUUUGGUCAGAGCAUGGCAUCUAGAACGGAUAGCCUCAAAUAUAUGAGUAACGUGGUUUAAGCUAGUAGCCCUUAUUGCUUUGGCGUAUGGUGCAUAUUCGCUAAACAUAAUCAUUUCGCUACAAAAUUCUUACAUAUUAACACCGUCGCACCGCAGGAUUAUGUACCUUGCCUAUCCCUCGCUUUGAAACGAACACAAUUUACGAAAAUGUUCAUAAGUUUCUUAACAGCCGGCCUAGCCAAGGUUACAAUCGCUAUCGCUUCGACAACGAAAAGCAUUCUGUCUCUCUAUCACUCUUCCAUAUUAGCGCGACAGUGACAGUUGCGUUUCGAUUGCUACGGAGCGUAAGCGAUUGACAUCUUGGCUACGCUGCCAGAGACCAUGAAGAAUUAAAAGUAUCAAUCACUAAAUAUACAGUCAGUGCCCAUUCAUUGCUGUUUUCUGUAGGUAGCUUCACUUAGCACAUAUCUUAUAGCACGUAUAUGCGCCCAGUCGACUGGUGAGCGAUCAAAGGGUUAAAACAUGGCGAAGGAUUUAACCGAUUAAAAAAAUUCAGAGCUAAUGAUAACAAUACAAUAAUAAUUUAGGAUCAAGGGCAUCAAGGCGGAAACAGUGGCUCAGCUCGAACAGUGGAUCGGUCGCUCAAAUAUCGAUCUACACUGUAGCACCCUCGCAUUUUAGCAGAACUAUUGCUUGAUCAUUUGCAUUUAUUCGAUUACUGAAUGUUUCUGCUACAUUAGCAGGGAAGCAAAUAGCCUCUCGUGUUGAAAUUAGGUUCAGUGAGCGACUUCCAGCUGAGCCACUGUUCCUGCCUUGACCGUACGGCAAAAAGGUCCUCCUAUUAUAAUCGUAUUACAUGGGUAGGGUACCUUCGGCAGUUCGGCAAAUAAAGGCAUAAAAUAGUCGCAUUUUAUUAUUUCUAAUUUUUAUAAGUAAUGGCAAUUGAGCCAACGAUGCAUAAAAUCAAUAAAACACAUCUACGAAAUUUUGAUUUAACAUCAAUAUAAUAAAUAGGGGUGCAACAUUCAACUUGAAAUAUAAUAAUAUCAAUAUUAUUUCAAUAAUAUAAUAGGUGAAGCUCGAUCAAUGGUGAGCGGUGCUCAUUGAGCAUAUAAUCUUAGUUACAAUUUUAAUACUGAAAAUGUAUCGUUCUGAGGAAAAGGUACCCGACCAUUACUGUAUAGAAGCAUCGCCAAUGCAUGGCGAAUAAGCCGAGCCGGUCUGGGGUCUUUAUCUGCGAACGACACAUUGACGGAAAAGAGACAAAAUCUAAACGCGCCGAAUUAGUUAUUAGGCAUUGAAAAUGCAAUUAAAUAAGAAAAGUUAAUAAUACUAGCGUAUUAACUGUUUGAAAAAAAAAACUGAAGUUGAAUUUCAGUUAGCGACUUUCACUCAACUGUUAAACUCUACUAAUAUUUGAAACCGAUUUUUAUAUUAAUAACUGUUAUCAAUCAGAUAAAAGUCAAUAUUUAUUAAUAUUAGUGCUAUAGUUCGUUUUUUUAGCAUUAGAAAGAACUCCACAGAAGUAAGCGUACAGUUUCUAUCAGCCUCUUUAAUUCUUAAUAAUUAUUGAAUUAUCUAAUGUAGCACGGUCAAUACAUAUAAUUUACUUCAAUUUAUUACCGUUAAAAGUGCCGGAUUUGGAACCACAAGCUUACUUCUGCGAAGUUCUUUCUAAUGCUAAAAAAAACGAACUAUACUUAGUUAACACUUUCAGUGCCAAGAACCCGCUAGUCGGGUCCCCGGGAUGUCCUUUCGGGACGUCACCGGCGUCAACCCCAAGGAUAAGAUAGAUAUAGCUCUAAAUUCCUAAAAUAAAUCACAAAAAAUACCGCUAGUCGGGUUCAUUUUGUAUUGAAAAUGGACGCUUGGUACUGAAAGUGUUAACUGUCGAAUUUAUAUAUAUGCUCAUGGACAAUUUUAGAGGAAGGCAAGAAAAGUUUAAUUACUGGAUUACAGCACUUAAAGUAAUUUCAAAAUUAUUAAUUAAACUUUUUUUUGCGUUCCUCUAAAUUUGUCCAUGAGUGUAGUUCAUUAAUUAUGGAAAUAACACUUUUAUUCGGUUAAAUUCCGCUAUUGCAUACUCAUAAAACAAUCUGUAUUCUUAUCAAAGUUAUCAAGAAUUAUUCAAAUCUUGAACUAUCAGAAUUGUGAUUUAUUGAUACGCUCAGUUUAGUAAAUAUUUCUAGUCUUUUUUUAGUGCUCAGAAGCAAUUAGCCUAUGUCAUUUCCUUAAAUUGUGCCAUUAAUAUUUAUACACAGUUUUUCGAAAUCUGAUGUUUUUUGAUUAUAACAGCUUUUUACAUUUUUUGUUUAAACGGCAAGCAAGGCUAAGACAAUAAAAUACCUAUAGAGAA